GGAAAGCUCAAAUGGGGAAUUGGCCCCGGAGGCAGCAGUAAAGAAUUUUGUGCAAUAUAUGAAGGUAAGACACAGAGAGGGCACCUUGCCUAGUCCGUCAAAUUAAGUGCCAGCAGACGCGGUGAAACUUAAGGGCUAGUUUUGUGGGCAAAAGCGUAAAGGGUGUGAUAGGCCGUUUUAAUUAAAAAGGGUUUUAUAAUUUAAGAAGGUAAAUGGAAUUUUUUUGUAGCGGUGGAAUGUGUAAAUAGAAAAAAGAACUUUAGACGUGAAGACUAUUUAUUUUUGAGAUUAUAGUGUGAUGGCUAAAACACGAGAGUAUGGGGAGCAAACAGGAUUAGGGACCCUGGUAGUCUAUACUGUAAAUAAUGAAAAAGAUGUGAAGCAAUCCUAAAAAGUCAGAAAUUUUCCGCUUGAGUAGUACGACCGCAAGGUUAAAAUUCAAAAAACUUGGCUGUUCACUGUUUUAAUUAGAGGAGCGUGUCGUUUAAUUCGAUAGUCCGCGAGAGACCUUACCCAAACUUGAAUCCUUCAUUGACAGGUAUUGCAUGGCCGUCGUCAAUUUGUGUAUUAAACAUAAAACAGAUUUAACCCAGUGGUUUGUCACUUGGAUGAAGUCAGGUCUUAUUGUCCUAAUGUUUGGGGAUUAGAUGCGCUACAUUUUUUUAUACAAUAGGAAACUUUGAGUGUGAAACCUGAAAAUAAGAGUUCGGAAAGUGCCUGGAAGAUAACGGAAAGUUGUAUUUAAUAGUAAUUGAAAAGUAGAGCGUUUCAAUGAAAUUUUUUCAGUGUUAGUACAAAUUGCCCGUCGCCUUUGCUUAGACAGGUUGGUUGAUUGCCCCUCAAGAGGGUUUCUAAUACCUCCGAGGCAGAGUAAGUC
rnacentral:rRNA from 1 species